rnacentral:rRNA from 1 species
AACGUAGGUACCGAGCGUUAUCCGGAUUUACUGGGCGUAAAGCGCGUUCAGGCGGUUUGGCAAGUCGGGCAUGAAAUCUCUCGGCUCAACCGGGAGAGGUUGUCCGAUACUGCUGGACUUGAGGGCAGUAGAGGGUGGUGGAAUUCCGGGUGUAGUGGUGAAAUGCGUAGAUAUCCGGAGGAACACCAGUGGCGAAAGCGGCCACCUGGACCAGUACCGACGUUCAGGCACGAAAGCGUGGGGAGCAAACAGG